rnacentral:lncRNA from 1 species
GUUACUUGAUUAGGAGGAAGAAGUCCUGUGACUGCAAAACGCAGGAUCUCAACAGCUACAACCUCCAGCCUCAUUGCUCUUUCGUUUUCUUCUAUCUCAGGAUGAAGAUGUAAAGAUUACAAACGAUAUUUUUCCCACUAAAUUUGCGUUCUCUACAUCUAACUGUUUAAAAAACUGGAUGGAGAAACUCGUAGAUCAGGAGGAUUAAACCAAAGGAAAGAGCUCUCUGCACAUGUAAUGGCCUCCAUGGUUCAAAACACCCAAGUCUGGCUAUCGUCUGGGCGAAGCUUUAGACAGAUAACGGAUUGAAAGGUACCUCGUCUAGGCAAGCUGCAAGACUGACGUCCCCUUUUCCUUUGGUUGGUAAAGCCUAGAAAAGUUAUCAAUAGAGCUUCCUCUCAAAGGAAGUAAUCCUUUUUAACAGAUAUACAUUUCAGAGAACGGGCCUGACCUAGCUAUUGGUGCACACAAUGUCUGCAGACUUGGGCACCACACUUAUUUAAAACGUGGCCCUGAGUGAACAAUUUCUCUGGCCUUAUAGCCCCACAUUUUUGGAAAGCAUUAGAGACAUGGUAUGAGUCACAAGAAGAGGGAGAAAAUUUAACCCAGAGCUCUUGAAAUCCUUCUCUAAUAGGUAUACUCUGACCUCGCACAAGGAUUUAUUUCUAAUUAACUUGCUAAUAAAGAGACAUUCUAUCUCUUUUGGCA